GAGCGAAAAGUUGUCCUCAAGUAUUUUUUCUAACGGAUGGUACGAUUUGGAAGAGUCUACUAAAAAAAGUCUUAUGUUGAUGAUGAUAAGAUCCCAAAGACCUUUAAAAAUUGAUAUCGGUACUGUAUACUAUUUGGGGACUGAACUGUUUGUUAAGAUUCUAAAAGGAGGAUAUAGUUUCAUUUUAUUCUACAACAUUUAAACCGAAUGAAAAAAUAACGGAAAAAGUUAAUUUGCACUUAAGACUUUGCACCUGACAUUAGUAACUAUGUAACUAACAUUAUAGAUGCACCAUUGAAUCGCAAUAUUGACUGCGUUCACCAGAUGCAAACACAUUCACAAAUGUUUGCGCUUUGAUUCUAAACUUGUUGAGAGCGAGCUGAACGGUUGGUUGUUUAGGUUAAAAUUUGACAGUUUGCUUGCUUGGUUUGAAGGUAACCUAAAAUCAAUUUUCCCAAUAAAUACGUUUUUAAAUUUAUUUUUUUUUUAUUAAAGGAAAAAAGAAAAUUUAUUUAAUAGAUAAUAACGUAGCAGAAUAUCUUCAGUAGCCUUUAUUUUAUAUAUAAAACCCUUAUUAAUAUAUUUUACAAUAUAUACAAUUUAAAUUCCCGCCAUAUUUUUUCAAUAUUCAACACGUUUGCAAAGUUCAACUUAAAUAUCUUAUGUUUGCAAAAAUGGCGACCGCUUUCCAAACAUGUUUGACGUUAGCAAGUCGUUCAGAACCAUAAAGCGCAAACUGAUUGCCAACGUUUGCAUCUGGUGAACGCGCCCAUUGUUACUCUUAGAGUAAUAGUUAAAAGAAAAAUCACAUAGUAAUAAUAAUUAAUUUUAUUGAACACGUUGUUUAAUAGUUUUAAGUAAUAUAAUAGAGUUAGAUGCAAGGAG
rnacentral:lncRNA from 1 species